UCAGAGCCGCCAGCUCCCCUGUACAGCCUGGGAAUUCAGGGAGCAGGAAGUGGAAGAGAAGGGAGGGAUUAGGGUUUUUACAGAAAUAUUCAAUAAAUCACUACUUUCUGAAGUACAAUUCGUCUAUAUCUAAAUGAGUCUAACGCACUGACACGUUCUUGGUUUUCACACAAAAUGUCUCCUUUAAAGGGCUCUGCAGCCAUAUGUUACUAAUACCCUAAUUACACACUGCCUUCCAUGUCUUGUUACUUAAUGGGAUUAAUAACAGAAGAUGUUUACAUCAUAGCUGAUUAGUUUCCACAUAAAACAAUCCAUCUCCAACUCAUAUAACAGACUCGGUGCCUGCCAGCGUGUAAAGUGCCUGUUUUGUGGAGCAGCAGCAGCCUCGUAUUUAACACAUCAAAGGAAACCUGCUGUCUGUAUGGAAAAUAUCUAAAUGAAGCCAGCUACACAGACUGCCAAUGAAAACUGCAGACAGACUAUGGCCAAACAGCUGCACGCUCACAAGGCGACGUGCACAUGCGCAAUAAAAAAAGGGCGACGUUGCGUGCUUCAAUAGAUAUCUGCGCGUGCGUCCCCAGUACUUCCUGGAUUCGAGCGACCAGUCAUUAGGAACGCGCAUGCGCUUAGGAAUCGAUGGUUUGGCGCCUCUCGUGGAGGUCAUGUGAGGGCCGGGAAGUAGCGCGAAACUUCCAGAAGCUGACGUCAACCGGUGACCUGUGUUUGGAUUGGUUCUCUCGCUGCAGUUUGUCCGAGUCAUGCAAGCAAAGAAGGAACGUACCACUAAAUUGUGGAACUGGAAGGUCACUGGAGAACUUUUACCCCAU